rnacentral:rRNA from 1 species
UAGUGGGGGGGGGUGCUAUACAUGCAGUCGAACGAGUUCUGAUUAUUGAAAGGUGCUUGCAUCUUGAUUUAAUUUUGAACGAGUGGCGGACGGGUGAGUAACACGUGGGUAACCUGCCCUUAAGUGGGGGAUAACAUUUGGAAACAGAUGCUAAUACCGCAUAAAUCCAAGAACCGCAUGGUUCUUGGCUGAAAGAUGGCGUAAGCUAUCGCUUUUGGAUGGACCCGCGGCGUAUUAGCUAGUUGGUGAGGUAACGGCUCACCAAGGCAAUGAUACGUAGCCGAACUGAGAGGUUGAUCGGCCACAUUGGGACUGAGACACGGCCCAAACUCCUACGGGAGGCAGCAGUAGGGAAUCUUCCACAAUGGACGCAAGUCUGAUGGAGCAACGCCGCGUGAGUGAAGAAGGCUUUCGGGUCGUAAAACUCUGUUGUUGGAGAAGAAUGGUCGGCAGAGUAACUGUUGUCGGCGUGACGGUAUCCAACCAGAAAGCCACGGCUAACUACGUGCCAGCAGCCGCGGUAAUACGUAGGUGGCAAGCGUUAUCCGGAUUUAUUGGGCGUAAAGCGAGCGCAGGCGGUUUUUUAAGUCUGAUGUGAAAGCCCUCGGCUUAACCGAGGAAGUGCAUCGGAAACUGGGAAACUUGAGUGCAGAAGAGGACAGUGGAACUCCAUGUGUAGCGGUGAAAUGCGUAGAUAUAUGGAAGAACACCAGUGGCGAAGGCGGCUGUCUGGUCUGUAACUGACGCUGAGGCUCGAAAGCAUGGGUAGCGAACAGGAUUAGAUACCCUGGUAGUCCAUGCCGUAAACGAUGAAUGCUAGGUGUUGGAGGGUUUCCGCCCUUCAGUGCCGCAGCUAACGCAUUAAGCAUUCCGCCUGGGGAGUACGACCGCAAGGUUGAAACUCAAAGGAAUUGACGGGGGCCCGCACAAGCGGUGGAGCAUGUGGUUUAAUUCGAAGCAACGCGAAGAACCUUACCAGGUCUUGACAUCUUUUGAUCACCUGAGAGAUCAGGUUUCCCCUUCGGGGGCAAAAUGACAGGUGGUGCAUGGUUGUCGUCAGCUCGUGUCGUGAGAUGUUGGGUUAAGUCCCGCAACGAGCGCAACCCUUAUGACUAGUUGCCAGCAUUUAGUUGGGCACUCUAGUAAGACUGCCGGUGACAAACCGGAGGAAGGUGGGGAUGACGUCAAAUCAUCAUGCCCCUUAUGACCUGGGCUACACACGUGCUACAAUGGAUGGUACAACGAGUUGCGAGACCGCGAGGUCAAGCUAAUCUCUUAAAGCCAUUCUCAGUUCGGACUGUAGGCUGCAACUCGCCUACACGAAGUCGGAAUCGCUAGUAAUCGCGGAUCAGCACGCCGCGGUGAAUACGUUCCCGGGCCUUGUACACACCGCCCGUCACACCAUGAGAGUUUGUAACACCCGAAGCCGGUGGCGUAACCCUUUAGGGAGCGAGCCGUCUAAGGUGAACCAAAUG